ACGCUCGACACCUACGGGAGGAGCAGUGGGGAAUAUUGCACAAUGGGGGAAACCCUGAUGCAGCGACGCCGCGUGAAGGAUGAAGUAUUUCGGUAUGUAAACUUCUAUCAGCAGGGAAGAAAGUGACGGUACCUGACUAAGAAGCCCCGGCUAACUACGUGCCUGCAGCCGCGGUAAUCUGAGCGGGCUGGCAAGGC
rnacentral:rRNA from 1 species